rnacentral:rRNA from 1 species
UACGUAGGGGGCUAGCGUUAUCCGGAAUUAUUGGGCGUAAAGGGUGCGCAGGUGGUUAUAUAAGAUUGUGGUUAAAGAAUGGGGCUCAACCCCAUAAUGCCAUGAUAACUGUAUGACUAGAGUGCAGAAGAGGAAAGCGGAAUUCCAUGUGUAGCGGUGAAAUGCGUAGAUAUAUGGAGGAACACCAGUGGCGAAGGCGGCUUUCUGGUCUGUAACUGACACUGAGGCACGAAAGCGUGGGGAGCAAAUAGG